rnacentral:rRNA from 1 species
GGGAAUAUUGGACAAUGGGCGAAAGCCUGAUCCAGCAAUGCCGCGUGAGUGAUGAAGGCCUUAGGGUUGUAAAGCUCUUUUACCCGGGAUGAUAAUGACAGUACCGGGAGAAUAAGCUCCGGCUAACUCCGUGCCAGCAGCCGCGGUAAUACGGAGGGAGCUAGCGUUAUUCGGAAUUACUGGGCGUAAAGCGCACGUAGGCGGCUUUGUAAGUAAGAGGUGAAAGCCCAGAGCUCAACUCUGGAAUUGCCUUUUAGACUGCAUCGCUUGAAUCAUGGAGAGGUCAGUGGAAUUCCGAGUGUAGAGGUGAAAUUCGUAGAUAUUCGGAAGAACACCAGUGGCGAAGGCGACACACUGGCCCGUUACUGACGCUGAGGCGCGAAAGCGUGGGGAGCAAACAG